CGGACGGGUGAGUAAUGUCUGGGAAACUGCCUGAUGGGGAGGGGAUACACUGGAAACGGUAGCUAAUACCGCAUAACGUCGCAAGACCAAAGAGGGGGACCUUCGGGCCUCUUGCCAUCGGAUGUGCCCAGAUGGGAUUAGCUAGUAGGUGGGGUAACGGCUCACCUAGGCGACGAUCCCUAGCUGGUCUGAGAGGAUGACCAGCCACACUGGAACUGAGACACGGUCCAG
rnacentral:rRNA from 1 species